rnacentral:rRNA from 1 species
UUAAGCGACUAAGCGUACACGGUGGAUGCCCUGGCAGUCAGAGGCGAUGAAGGACGUGCUAAUCUGCGAUAAGCGUCGGUAAGGUGAUAUGAACCGUUAUAACCGGCGAUUUCCGAAUGGGGAAACCCAGUGUGUUUCGACACACUAUCAUUAACUGAAUCCAUAGGUUAAUGAGGCGAACCGGGGGAACUGAAACAUCUAAGUACCCCGAGGAAAAGAAAUCAACCGAGAUUCCCCCAGUAGCGGCGAGCGAACGGGGAGCAGCCCAGAGCCUGAAUCAGUGUGUGUGUUAGUGGAAGCGUCUGGAAAGGCGCGCGAUACAGGGUGACAGCCCCGUACACAAAAAUGCACAUGCUGUGAGCUCGAUGAGUAGGGCGGGACACGUGGUAUCCUGUCUGAAUAUGGGGGGACCAUCCUCCAAGGCUAAAUACUCCUGACUGACCGAUAGUGAACCAGUACCGUGAGGGAAAGGCGAAAAGAACCCCGGCGAGGGGAGUGAAAAAGAACCUGAAACCGUGUACGUACAAGCAGUGGGAGCACGCUUAGGCGUGUGACUGCGUACCUUUUGUAUAAUGGGUCAGCGACUUAUAUUCUGUAGCAAGGUUAACCGAAUAGGGGAGCCGAAGGGAAACCGAGUCUUAACUGGGCGUUAAGUUGCAGGGUAUAGACCCGAAACCCGGUGAUCUAGCCAUGGGCAGGUUGAAGGUUGGGUAACACUAACUGGAGGACCGAACCGACUAAUGUUGAAAAAUUAGCGGAUGACUUGUGGCUGGGGGUGAAAGGCCAAUCAAACCGGGAGAUAGCUGGUUCUCCCCGAAAGCUAUUUAGGUAGCGCCUCGUGAAUUCAUCUCCGGGGGUAGAGCACUGUUUCGGCAAGGGGGUCAUCCCGACUUACCAACCCGAUGCAAACUGCGAAUACCGGAGAAUGUUAUCACGGGAGACACACGGCGGGUGCUAACGUCCGUCGUGAAGAGGGAAACAACCCAGACCGCCAGCUAAGGUCCCAAAGUCAUGGUUAAGUGGGAAACGAUGUGGGAAGGCCCAGACAGCCAGGAUGUUGGCUUAGAAGCAGCCAUCAUUUAAAGAAAGCGUAAUAGCUCACUGGUCGAGUCGGCCUGCGCGGAAGAUGUAACGGGGCUAAACCAUGCACCGAAGCUGCGGCAGCGACGCUUAUGCGUUGUUGGGUAGGGGAGCGUUCUGUAAGCCUGUGAAGGUGUGCUGUGAGGCAUGCUGGAGGUAUCAGAAGUGCGAAUGCUGACAUAAGUAACGAUAAAGCGGGUGAAAAGCCCGCUCGCCGGAAGACCAAGGGUUCCUGUCCAACGUUAAUCGGGGCAGGGUGAGUCGACCCCUAAGGCGAGGCCGAAAGGCGUAGUCGAUGGGAAACAGGUUAAUAUUCCUGUACUUGGUGUUACUGCGAAGGGGGGACGGAGAAGGCUAUGUUGGCCGGGCGACGGUUGUCCCGGUUUAAGCGUGUAGGCUGGUUUUCCAGGCAAAUCCGGAAAAUCAAGGCUGAGGCGUGAUGACGAGGCACUACGGUGCUGAAGCAACAAAUGCCCUGCUUCCAGGAAAAGCCUCUAAGCAUCAGGUAACAUCAAAUCGUACCCCAAACCGACACAGGUGGUCAGGUAGAGAAUACCAAGGCGCUUGAGAGAACUCGGGUGAAGGAACUAGGCAAAAUGGUGCCGUAACUUCGGGAGAAGGCACGCUGAUAUGUAGGUGAAGUCCCUCGCGGAUGGAGCUGAAAUCAGUCGAAGAUACCAGCUGGCUGCAACUGUUUAUUAAAAACACAGCACUGUGCAAACACGAAAGUGGACGUAUACGGUGUGACGCCUGCCCGGUGCCGGAAGGUUAAUUGAUGGGGUUAGCGGUAACGCGAAGCUCUUGAUCGAAGCCCCGGUAAACGGCGGCCGUAACUAUAACGGUCCUAAGGUAGCGAAAUUCCUUGUCGGGUAAGUUCCGACCUGCACGAAUGGCGUAAUGAUGGCCAGGCUGUCUCCACCCGAGACUCAGUGAAAUUGAACUCGCUGUGAAGAUGCAGUGUACCCGCGGCAAGACGGAAAGACCCCGUGAACCUUUACUAUAGCUUGACACUGAACAUUGAGCCUUGAUGUGUAGGAUAGGUGGGAGGCUUUGAAGUGUGGACGCCAGUCUGCAUGGAGCCGACCUUGAAAUACCACCCUUUAAUGUUUGAUGUUCUAACGUGGACCCGUGAUCCGGGUUGCGGACAGUGUCUGGUGGGUAGUUUGACUGGGGCGGUCUCCUCCUAAAGAGUAACGGAGGAGCACGAAGGUUGGCUAAUCCUGGUCGGACAUCAGGAGGUUAGUGCAAUGGCAUAAGCCAGCUUGACUGCGAGCGUGACGGCGCGAGCAGGUGCGAAAGCAGGUCAUAGUGAUCCGGUGGUUCUGAAUGGAAGGGCCAUCGCUCAACGGAUAAAAGGUACUCCGGGGAUAACAGGCUGAUACCGCCCAAGAGUUCAUAUCGACGGCGGUGUUUGGCACCUCGAUGUCGGCUCAUCACAUCCUGGGGCUGAAGUAGGUCCCAAGGGUAUGGCUGUUCGCCAUUUAAAGUGGUACGCGAGCUGGGUUUAGAACGUCGUGAGACAGUUCGGUCCCUAUCUGCCGUGGGCGCUGGAGAACUGAGGGGGGCUGCUCCUAGUACGAGAGGACCGGAGUGGACGCAUCACUGGUGUUCGGGUUGUCAUGCCAAUGGCACUGCCCGGUAGCUAAAUGCGGAAGAGAUAAGUGCUGAAAGCAUCUAAGCACGAAACUUGCCCCGAGAUGAGUUCUCCCUGACUCCUUGAGAGUCCUGAAGGAACGUUGAAGACGACGACGUUGAUAGGCCGGGUGUGUAAGCGCAGCGAUGCGUUGAGCUAACCGGUACUAAUGAACCGUGAGGCUUAACCUU